GGAUUAGAUACCCUGGUAGUCCUAGCUGUAAACGAUGGAUACUAGGUGUUGGGCGUAUCGACCCGUUCAGUACCGCAGUCAACGCGAUAAGUAUCCCGCCUGGGGAGUACGCACGCAAGUGUGAAACUCAAAGGAAUUGACGGGGGCCCGCACAAGCGGUGGAGUAUGUGGUUUAAUUCGAUGCAACGCGAAGAACCUUACCAGGGCUUGACAUCCCGCGAAUCUUGAUGAGAGUCGAGAGUGCCUUCGGGAGCGCGGAGACAGGUGGUGCAUGGCUGUCGUCAGCUCGUGUUG
rnacentral:rRNA from 1 species